rnacentral:rRNA from 1 species
UACGUAGGGGGGCGAGCGUUGUCCGGAUUCAUUGGGCGUAAAGAGCUCGUAGGCGGUUCAGUAAGUCGGGUGUGAAAUCUCCGUGCUCAACACGGAGCGGCCACCUGAUACUGCUGUGACUCGAGUCCGGUAGGGGAGUGUGGAAUUCCCGGUGUAGCGGUGAAAUGCGCAGAUAUCGGGAGGAACACCAGUAGCGAAGGCGGCACUCUGGGCC